rnacentral:lncRNA from 1 species
GGCGGAUGUUUUGUGUUGGAAUAAGCUGUCAGCAAUUUGUGUCAGCCCUGCUGGGGCUGCCUGCAUUUAGGUAGUCGUAUGGGGACAAAGGAAAUCGAGAACUUUUUCUAGGUUACAGCAGUUUUCAAAUCCACCCAAAUACUCUCUCAUGCGGGCUUCUCACCUGCAGCUUUAAGACGUCCAUCAGUCUCAUGGGAUCUCUGGUAAACACCGAGUAGAUUCCCUGGAGUGCUUCAUCAAGAUCAAGUGCAGCAAAAGACUCAGUGCUGUCUCAUUCUCUGCCCAGCCUUGGGCACAGAUUUGAGCAACAUGAGAGCUGCUGUGACCCAUGUCAUCUGGCAGUGGUCCCCAAGAGCUUGUUUACACAGGAUAUUUUUUCACGAGAAUGUAAUUACACCGCUGAAACUACAUGAGCGUGAAAACUUUGCACGUGUAGCAGAGUUAAGCCAGGACUUCUGCGUUAGCCAGGGCUCGAUUCUGCAAGGUGCAGAGCGCAGGUGUGAGGCACUGACUGUCCCUUGUUCCCUGCCAUCAGCGGCCCAGGAGAACAGUCAUUGUCCUUCAGGAAUGCUUGACAUCAUUCGGAAAUGCUGAGCACCUUCCAGGACUGGAACUACUGGGAUGAACAGGGCAGAAACAGGCUCAUGCUUUGCAUUUGGCCCAGGCUAUGCUUUUAAAGGACAUGAGGAAGUUCUUUAUUCUGGACUACGAGCCUGCUCUUGCUUUGACUGAAUGGAGAGAGUACCCACGUUCAGAGGCUUUGACAGGACUCAGCAUCCAACAGCAUCUGAUGGAUCACCUAUUACAGUCUGAAGACUUUAAAUCUGUCCAAGAGUGGUUUCCAAAGCUCAGAAUGAACGAUUUUGUAAUCAGCAACCUGACUUCCAGAGCUGCUUGAUAGUACAAAAUCUCAUUAAAGAUAAAAGACUAAAAGAAAAGUAAGCCUUCCAAACAAUUUUCCAAUUAAAAUUGACUUUUCUGGGGGGAAACAGAACAAACCAACAAAAAACUGGUUAUCUGGAAAGUUGAUACUCUAAUUUCUCAAAUGCAGAAUCCUGAAACACCUGGUAUCACCAACUCCCAGCAAGAAGCAGCAUUACUGAACACUGUGGCAGAAGCCUGGAUUCUAGAAAGAUCAGGGAAAAAGAAGAAACUGCAGUAGAAACAUUUGGCUUGUCACAAUUGUUAUAUGGCACCGUAGCUGCAACUUCGUAAUGUGCAAUAAAACUGACAUGACG